GGACGAAUUGCUCCGCUGCUGCUCUUACAUUGGAAGAAAAAUUUCGAGAUUUAGAAUUGCGACUAGAGACGACAGAGGCCAGAAGUGUCCAAGUUGAAGAAAAGGUGUCCCAACUAGAGGCUCAACUUGAACUAAAUAACGAAAUAAGAAAUAAUUUGAAGUUUCAAGUAA